GGCGAUCAGAUACCGCCCUAGUUCUGACCGUAAAUGAUGCCAACUACCAAUCCGCUGGUGGGUUUCUGAUUCCACGAGCGGGCGGGUUUCCGGAAACGAAAGUCUUUCGGUUCCGGGGGAAGUAUGGUUGCAAAGCUGAAACUUAAAGGAAUUGACGGAAGGGCACCACCAGGAGUGGAGCUUGCGGCUUAAUUUGACUCAACACGGGAAACCUCACCCGGCCAGCACAUCGUGAGGAUUGACAGACCGAUAGCUCUUUCAUGAUUCGGUGGAUGGUGGUGCAUGGCCGUUCUUAGUUCGUACCCGUCGAGGCGUCUGCUUUAUUGCGAUAACGAGCGAGACGCCAACUGCUAAAUAAUGGGUCGAUUGCUUCGGUUGUCGGCGAUCAUUUCUUAGCGGGAUUUGUGGUUUCCAGCCUCAAGAAAUGGCGCAAUAACAGGUCUGUGAUGCCCUUAGAUGUUCGGGGCCGCACGCGUGCUACAAUGGUGGUAUCAGCGUGACUGUCCUACUCCGAAAGGAGAUGGCAAACAGUUGAGAUAUUAUUAUGGCUGGAAUUGAGUGUUGAAAUUUUCACUCAUGAACGAGGAAUUCCAAGUAAAUGCGAGUCAUCAACUCGCAUUGAUUACGUCCCUGCCCUUUGUA
rnacentral:rRNA from 1 species